UACGUAGGGCGCAAGCGUUGUCCGGAAUUAUUGGGCGUAAAGAGCUCGUAGGCGGUUUGUUGCGUCCGUCGUGAAAGCCCACAGCUUAACUGUGGGUCUGCGGUGGAUACGGGCAGACUAGAGGCAGGUAGGGGAGAACGGAAUUCCCGGUGUAGCGGUGAAAUGCGCAGAUAUCUGGAGGAACACCGGUGGCGAAGGCGGCAUCCUGGACCGGCAUUGACGCUGAAUAGCGAAAGCCAGGGGAGCAAACGGG
rnacentral:rRNA from 1 species